CAAACACACACAAUAACACAUGCAUGUGCUUACCAACACACACAACCUCUCUCUCGUCUCUCUUCCAACUCUCUUUUCUCUCCCCUCGCUCUCUUCUCUCUCUCCUCUCCCUCUCUGACUAAGCUUCAUAAGGAUAUAGAGUGGGACUGCACUUAGAGGCCUAACAGCCAUUACCCAGCGGGCUGCAGACGGCGUGUGGAGAGAGUCCUGGGGAGAUCCAUCAACAUUCUGCUGGCCUGGAACAUCGAUUAACCAUCCGUCAGCCAGAGAGGAUGCUGGGUAAUGGAGCGCUUGGUAGUGUACAGCAGCCAUGAUGAAAGGAGGUGAAGGUGGCGAGGGUCACUCCAGUGUUUCUCUCCCUGGCUCUAUUCAUCGCCCCUCCCAUGUGUAGCAUACCAUAAUGACUGCACUCCCACCAAAGUCUGAACUUGAAUUCAUAUUCUAUAUUACCUUCAAAACAGAACAAUUUGAGGAGGACUGGGCAUAUGGUCAAAGGAGAGGGAAGAUGCUCUGAAGAUGAGCUGGGAUGAUGAGAGUGAUUUGGCCCGAAUGCUUAGUGGAAUGGUUGGAUGAGACGGCCACUACAUCUCUGCUACAGCUAGCCUGAGGGGCUGGCCCUUUGACACAGGCUUUGUAAUCUGAGCAGAGCAGGUACUCUAACUGGCAGAGAGAAGAAC
rnacentral:lncRNA from 1 species